rnacentral:rRNA from 1 species
GGGAUAGCCUUGCGAAAGUAAGAUUAAUACCCGGCGGUCUCGGAUGGCCGCAUAACUGUCCGAGUGAAGAUUUAUCGGUAUGAGAUGGCGAUGCGUCCCAUUAGCUUGUUGGUGAGGUAACGGCUCACCAAGGCAUCGAUGGGUAGGGGUUCUGAGGGGAAGGUCCCCCACAUUGGAACUGAGACACGGUCCAAACUCCUACGGGAGGCAGCAGUGAGGAAUAUUGGUCAAUGGACGAAAGUCUGAACCAGCCAAGUAGCGUGCAGGAUGACGGCCCUCUGGGUUGUAAACUGCUUUUAGUUGGGAAUAAAAAGAGGGACGUGUCCCUUAUUGUAUGUACCAUCAGAAAAAGGACCGGCUAAUUCCGUGCCAGCAGCCGCGGUAAUACGGAAGGUCCAGGCGUUAUCCGGAUUUAUUGGGUUUAAAGGGAGCGCAGGCGGCGGCGUAAGUCAGUUGUGAAAUCGUGCGGCUUAACCGUGCAAUUGCAGUUGAUACUGCGUCGCUUGAGUGCACACAGGGAUGUUGGAAUUCAUGGUGUAGCGGUGAAAUGCUUAGAUAUCAUGAAGAACUCCGAUCGCGAAGGCAUAUGUCCGGAGUGCAACUGACGCUGAGGCUCGAAAGUGUGGGUAUCAAACAGGAUUAGAUACCCUGGUAGUCCACACAGUAA